GACAACUGCAUUAUCGGAUUCAUGUUCUGUCUGCAACAAGCUGCUUGCAUAUUUUCUCUUGUUGCUAUGAUUGUCGGAAGCAGUGAGCUUCAAGAAGCAUCCCAAAUUCUGACUUGUUUGUCAGACUUCGUCUACUGCACGGUUUGUGCUUGCAUGCAGACGCAGCAUAAAGUAGAGAUGGACAAGCGGGACGGCAUGUUUGGACCGCCCACAGCGAUGGGGGUGCCACCGUUUCAGCAUAUGUCACGACUCG
rnacentral:misc_RNA from 1 species